rnacentral:tRNA from 1 species
GUCUCCAGUAGCUCAGUGGUUAGAGCAUCCGGUUAGAUCCCGGAGGGUCGUGAGUUCAAAUCCCAUCUGGGGCU